ACCAUGACCACUUUGCAUCUCUUCUUUGGGGGGGCUGGCUGCCUGCCUUCUUCCAGAUUUGGUGCUUCCACUGAUGAUUCUGCUAGUGCUAUGAGAAGCUCAUUCCUGUUUUCCAGUUCCAGGGGAGGAGUAACGCUGGCUCAUGCCUUGGGGCCAGAGAUAACCAUCUCCUAGGCAACUCCAAGAUGGGACUCCAGGCUGCUGUGAAGUGUUGCUAGGCACAGUGAAACAGCUGCUAUGUUGUACUUCACAGAUGGCUGAACUGAUUCUGGCCUGGCAGUGAAAAAUCAGUUGGGAUACUUUUCCUGAUUCACCUGAACAGAAAGUUCUGUUGAAGAAAGAGGAAAAUAAGUUGACCUGAAAAGCGAAGUGGACCUGCCAGUUCUCUCAGCAUCUGUAGGAGCUGCUGCCUGGACGAAUACUCAGAAAAAGAAGGCAAAUACCAUGUGACUAGGAGUGACCAGUCAGACAGCUUGAAUAUUAAAUACUGAAGACUUAUGGUAGCCUUUCAGCAGAAUAUGUGUCAAAAGCUUUUCAGACAAGAGUAAAGAAUACUAUUCAGAAGAUACCUUGUGAGGAAAGCAUGGCUUCUGGUCUUGCUACUCUCAGGCUAGGACUGAAGGAAAUCUGGGGAUAUGAAAAUGGACUACAACUACAGGAAAGUAAUCCAUAGUAUGGCAGCAAUAAGAAUAGCCAGUUUGUCUCACAGCUAGUGUAGGGAUUAUUCAUAAAAAAAUCUAAAUUAUGAAGGUCAAAUGUUCUUAAAGUGAAAAAUAAAAUAAAAUUGGACCUACAAGUCAAGGCCCUUUUAACUAAGACACUGGACUCUGUGAUGAUUCUUAAUUAUAGAUUUUGAUUUUAAAAAUUAGAAGUGCAUUACAACAAACUUUUCAAUUUUAGAGUAAUAUAGUUAAUAACUUUUACAGCUUCUUCACUUUGAAGCAGGCUGGUGAAGUGAAAGAUAACCUAAGGAGAGGGUUCUUUGAGUUACAGAAAGUGGUAGUCUGGAGUCUGAUUCUCCACUUGUGCAGACAUUCACACCUCUGCAAGUGGGUGUAAACAGUAGCAGAUCAGAAUGCCAUUCACGCCUACUUAGCACAGGUGUGAAUGACUCCACAUGAUGCAAGGGAGUUGAGUUUAUGAAUGCAAGGAGGCCUCAGGAGUUUGGGAGUUAAUUCAUCUUCCUGAAAACUUGGCUAUGCAUCAUUACUCAGCACUAUGUAGCACGAAGCAUUCUUUACUUUGUGCAUGAUUAGCCAGACAUCUUUUUCUUUCAGCUAACCCCUAUAUUUAAAUCAUUUUUAGCUUUCAUUGGGUAUGACAAUUGCAACUUGCAGACAAUAGGAAUACUGAAUCACAGAUACUAAAAAUGCUUAAUAUGUCGGAAAAAAUUAAAUUCUAGGAAUAAGAGACCAGGGGAAAGUGAAUUGCUUAGCAGGAGGGGCAUUUAAACUGUGUCCUGUGACUCAGUAGUGCCCAGUCCUCCAACUGAUAAUUGAGACUGCUUAUGGUGGGAGGCAGAGGCCACAGCAGGUAUUACAUUUGUACUGGGAGAGAAGCCUUUGUCCUGGAAUGAAAGGAGAAUGUACAGCCAUUCAAGGGAUUUCUUGUGGAAGAGUUGGCUCUUCUGUAAGAAAGUUAGAUCAAUAUGUACCAAAAAGAUUGACCUCCUCCAGACAUCUAAUUUGAAUGGCUGUACACUUCUCUUGGGUGUGGUGGACACCCAAUAUCCUGUAGUCCUCUGCUCUCCCUCCCUACCUCCCAUGAAGUGUGCAGGGGAGCACUGGCUCCCUGACAGCUUGCACAGGGAGCUGUGAGGAGCCUGCCUUUGAAAAUCCCACCCCCAUAGUUGACUGAUAAGGUGGGGAGGCAGUUUUCUCCUGCAGUAGGAACUCGGCUGAACCCUCAAGAUGGUUGGUGUCAGGGGAUAAUGGCUCUGGGCCACCCAAUCCCAAUAGAUCAGGCUGUUAAUUACUGGGCUCCCCAAAGGAUGGGGUGGCCCAGGGAGCACCCCUCUUGUGCCUCCUAGCUGGCGAGCUCUCCUGCAUAGCAAUCCAGGGAGGGAGCUGGAAUGCAUGCAUGCUCUAGCUCUUGGACUAUUUUUCUAGUGGUAAGAACUACAGAGAAAUUCUUAUCAAUAGAAAUGAAAACCUGUCUGUGACCACAGUACUGGUAGGAUCAACGCUAAGCUUACAAGAAGCAUGGAAAGAAUUACCAAUCCCUACUGCAGAAAGGGACUCUGGGAAGCUACCUAGUUUUUAAAGACCUCUGUAAACCUAAGGCAGCACGGUGUGAACUAGACUGUCAGGGAGAAAUUGCAGGCUAAUAAAGCAAGAUGGAAAAUUAUUUGAAGCAUGUAUUAGAGCCACUAAUAUUAUGAAGCAGCUCUCAUAUUUAAAAAAAGCUAGAGAUAGUUUGUUUUGUACUUAUUUUGUAAACUUUAUAGUGAUUUCACCAUAAAUUACUCAGAUUCAAGACUACUUUCUUACUGUAAAGUGAGUUAUUUCUAAAGAUGUCAUUCACUUUUGCAUCUCACAGAAUAACUAGGCAAAAACGCUGUGAAUAUACAACUGAAAUUCUGAUUUAUUCAGUCAUUAGCCAAAAAGAAGUGCCAUUUCAAUGGUAAUAGAAUGAAAAUCCAACUGGUGUUUUCUUUCUAAAAUGUGUUUUCCAUAGAGAUUGCUGUUCUCAGGCAAACACUUAUUUAAACCUUUGAAAUGUAUAAUCUUAACUUUAUACAGCUCUAGAAGUCUAAUGUUUCAUCCCUACUUGCAAAAGUAUUACAAUUUAAGUUUCAAUAAUGCAAGAAGCAUCUGUAGAGAAAAUACCAGGAAAACAGCUUUCCAGGAAAGAUGUUACAGGUUUGAAAUAGGUUUUUCUUAAAAUUUUUAUUAUAAAAGCUAUAGCUUUUUGAGCUUGCUAAUGCAAGUACAGGAUGUAAUCUUAGGAGGUCCAGCAGUAUGUGGUCGAAAUCCAGUCAUUAACACCACAAUUCCACUGUUGUUCUUCUAGCAUACAAUUAAGGAAAAGAAAAUCAAACAUUCAACAUACAGCUGUGCACUAGAUACCUUCACGGAAACGACUCAGCUUUUUACAAACAAAACAUUAGCACUUUAAGGUGAGGUAGAUUUCCCCUUCUGGGUUUAACGUGGUGCUCACAUUCACCUAGCAGACGGAGUGUGGAGAAUGGUACAUUUUGGUUGCAAAAUGAAUGUCAAGAGAUCUUUGCCUGAUCAGAACUCCACUAUGCUAAGAGCUCUACAGGUGAAGAGGCAAAGCCAGUCCAUGCCCCAAUCAGCUUACAACUUUGCGUAAGACCAGAGGCAACAAAAGGAAUGAAAUGAACUCAGAGAACAUGGAAAGAUGAUAAGAUACUGCUUGAAGGCCCAAGCCAUGUCAGAACUGAGAUGUCUACACUUGUGGAGAAAGUGGCAUGGAGGUCUUUAUUUAUUACAAAGAGACACUUCACUUUGCACGCAUAAACUUUUGCCUGUUCAAUGAAGAAAAAAGAACCACUCCCAUCAUACUGUGAAUACAUGAUUGCAGACUACUUAGAAAACAAUUGAAGCAUACAAGACAGGCAAGAAUGAAUGCACUGCAUCCCAUCUGUUUGUCCUUUUGGUACAUGUGGUAAUGGUCACUUAUCUGACUACCUGUGGAUAUGUAAAUGUAUUUGAAAUGAUGAAGAACUCUCCAUUCCAUGAUAAUGACAACAACCCGUGACAUCUCUAACCUUAGCAGCAGGUUAGAAACUAUUUGUGUUCUCUUCCAUUAAGAAUUUUACCCCUUCUGACACAUCUAUUUAGUUUUGUUUGAAAGAGAAAAUCACAUUAGUAUGACCUAAAACCACAAAUGAAUACUGUCUUCUCCCAACUAAUCUGCAUAUAUUUAAGUAUUUAUGAGCCACCUGCUGGGUAUCUGAGGUGGUUAUCAAUCUAAUAAAACCACAAUGUUAUUUGAAGCUCCCUUAUAAGCACCAAAGCAUAUAUGUAUUAAGACCAACCGCAACUAUGCUUAAAAAGAUAUUGCACAUCUCAUCUUUACUUGUUUCUCUAAUUUUUCCCCUCUAAUUUAUGAAUUUUCAAAAAUAUAUGAAAUAGGUAUAGUAUAAGCAGUAUUGAUAAGCACUAAGCCUGGGACUCAUGCCUAGUGGAUUUCACUCAGCAUGGGCUAGCAUUUUGCACUAGAAAUGUCAUUCUUUCCUUAUGAAUAGUGGUACAGCCUGUAUUUCUUAAAACUAAAGAUACUUUUUAUUUGAAGCAUUUUGAUAGACCCCAAAACACUUUUGCACUUUCCCUGGAAUCACAGAACUCAUUUUGCUCAUGUUGUUCCUUCUUUACUUUUAUUUUUGUACUGUUGUUUUCCAUUUCAAAGAGUGAGAGUUAUGGCUUGAUAACAAAGGUAGCAGUUAAUAUUGUAUUUAAUAUCCUUUCAGUGCCUAUGAUGUAAAGACUGCAAUCUAGAUGAAAUUAUUGUUGAUGCUAGUGAAUAAGUUAUUCAUCAUUUUGCAGAAGGAGCUGGACUUCCAACAUGAAUGCCUUAUGCUUUGUUUAUUUUACAUCUUUGGAUGUAAAUUACUAGCUAUUUUAAUCUAGGAAUAUAUCAGAAACAGAGCUUUAGAGAAGUCGGUUUUGCUGAAGCUUUAUCAAACUUAACAGUGUUCAGCAUACUUUCUAAAAUUACCCGGGUCAGAUAGCAAGAAGAUUGUUUAGAAAAUACACAGAAAAAUAUAUUGUGAGAUCUAAUUUUGUUUCUGACCACUAAUGACUAGUGAGGUUUGUAGGUCACUGAAAUACCGUUACAGUUGUCCUUAGCAAUCAGCCUUUACUUUUCAGGGGGAAGAAUAUAAUGGAGUUAGGACUUUAUUUCAGAAACCUAUACAAUCUCUUGUAUUCAAAAAGAUACUGAUAGUAGUAACCAUAAGACAUUCUUCAGGGUGCCAUAGAAGUUGUAUUUAUAUUAGUGUGUGUUAGAUUUCUUGCACUCUAUAAUUAGUAAUAAACAGUAACAACCUCAGAGUUAAAUAGGAUGAGAAAGGGAAAGUGAACCUUCAAGCCAGCUUCUUGAGGUCUUGGUUGUUUUUUCUUCUCUCCUGUUAUUCACUGCCACAAUCAUACUGGGGCAAUGCCUGAGGGAGUUAUCUAUUGUGCAGGCAGCGGGCUAAAUUCUGCUUUCAGUUGCAUCCCUGAUUUGCACAGGUGUAACCAAAGAUACCCAGUAAUUAUGAGAUGUUUGUAUUGGAACAGCCCCCUAGUUCUUUGCUGCUUAACCACACCUGUGUUUAUCAACAGAUAAACAUUUCAAGGACAAGGCAUUACUCCCCCGCUCCCCACUUUUUUUCCAGCUGAUUCUCUUUUUAUUAUUUAAUUUCAUCUUAAAUUAAAUGGAGACAACAAACGUGAGUACUGUCCAGGAUUCUAAAUCCUUGUAGGGUCUUCCCUCUGUACAGCUUUGUAGGUUUUGCUGGCAGAAUGAUUUGGCCAGAUUUCUGAGAGGAGCCUGAUUUAAAAGCUGCAGAAGACAUUUUUUUCAGAUACAUCCACUUCGUAUUGAUGGAGAAGGAAACAUUACUCAGGAAUUCUGGUUUCCCAGAAACGAGCAGUGUAUCUAGAGAAUGUAAACCAUGUAAUAAUCUGCCAACAGGUGGAGCUAGGUGAAAAUCCCUGGAUGCUGUGACAUCUGCUAUGUAGCUACACUGUAAAUCCUAUAAAUUUAAAUUAAAAAACCUUAAUGAAUAAAGCAUUCAUUUACAACUGUAUUUUGUUACUUAAUUGUCAAGGAUUUUUCUUUAUUCAUUAACAAAUCUGUUUUUUUUAAUAAGUGAAAUAAAC